UGGCGAACGGGUGAGUAACACGUAGGUAAUCUGCCCUGCACUCUGGGAUAAGCCUGGGAAACUGGGUCUAAUACUGGAUAUGACCUUUCUCCUUAUGGGGUUUGGUGGAAAGUUUUUCGGUGUAGGAUGAGCCCGCGGCCUAUCAGCUUGUUGGUGGGGUGAUGGCCUACCAAGGCGACGACGGGUAGCCGGCCUGAGAGGGUGAUCGGCCACAUUGGGACUGAGAUACGGCCCAG
rnacentral:rRNA from 1 species